ensembl:lncRNA
ACUCUGUGCCACCCUAUGCACUAUAGCCUGCCGGGCUCCUCUGUUCAUGGGAUUCUCCAGGCAAGAAUACUGGAAAGGGUUGCCACUUCCUCCUCCAGGAGAUCUUCCCAAUCCAGGUGUCGAACCCACGUCUCUCAGGUCUCCUGCAUUGGCAGGUGGGUUCUUCACCAUCGGCACCACCUGGGAAACCCAACAACCUUGCUGCUGCUGCUGCUAAGUUGCUUCAGUCGUGUCCGACUCUGUGCGACCCCAUAGACGGCAGCCCACCAGGCUCCCCUGUCCCUGGGAUUCUCCAGAGACCAACAACCAUCUCUUCCUGCCACUUUGAAUUAGACUUCUCUGGAUAUCUCAGGCAGAUUCUUUACCUGCUGGGCUACCUGGGAAGCCCAAACAUUGGGCUUGGGAAGAUCCCCUGGAAGAGAAAAUGACAAUCACUCCAGUAUUCUUUCCUGAUUCCACGUGGUAGCAAAGAGAAACCAGGAUGUGAGUGCCUAUGGCUGGCAUCUCAGGCUCCAUCAAUUCUUUUUAUCUUUUCAUUGAGAAAGAUGUAAAAAGAGGGCAUGCAAUAGAGGGGAUCUUCCUGACCCAAGGAUUGAAACCACAUCUCCUGGAAUAGCAGGCGGGUUCUUUACCACUGAGCCAUCAGGGAAAUGCAGCAGUGGAUCACCAGGACAAAAAGGGCCAGUGGAAGAAAGAAUUAUUGGUGUAGCAACCAAUAGGCAUACUGAUGAAUUCUGGUCAGAUGGUUACAAAGAAGAACAGAAGAGGAAAAGAUAUAGUCAAAGGAUCAGCAGUGGAGACAUUGGAAAAAGCAGGACCUCACACUGGAAAGUCUCAAAAGGAAGUGAAAGCAGGAGCCAAACUGCUGGGCCCAGAGUGGGUGGAAUGAAAAAGAUAGAUGGUUGUAGAAGAGAUAACUAACGAGGCUCUGAUAACUCUAAUUUUCUGGGCCUUGGUGAGCUUUGCCUAUGCUUCAACUAAAUGGAAAUAUAAAUAGCUGAGAAAGAAGCCAGUGGAUGGGAACUGACAUAAUGGACUAUUGACUCUCUGAGAUAUAAGGGACCUUCUUAAAAGCAUAAUAUUUUACGUGGUCAUUUGUCAGGCUUCCUCUGGGUGAGCGAGCUCCUUUGGGGGAGGUAAGUGGAUUGGCUAAUCUUAGUGUUUUGUUUAAUGUACACCUAGUACAUUGUGCUAGAGAUCA